AUUUAGAGGAAGUAAAAGUCGUAACAAGGUUUCCGUAGGUGAACCUGCGGAAGGAUCAUUAAUGAGUUGUGAAGGGGUUUGAUGCUGGCAGCCAAUUUUUGGAUGCAUGUGCUCGCCCUAACAAUCAUCUUCCAAACACCCGUGCACAUUUUUGAGGGAGUUUAGAGUUAAUUGCCACAUUCUUGGUGGUUUCCUUGCGCUCCCUUAAAUUUAUUAUACGCUAUCGACAAUGUUGAACGUGCUUGUGCCGCAAGGCCUUAAUAUAAUACAACUUUUAACAACGGAUCUCUUGGCUCUCGCAUCGAUGAAGAACGCAGCGAAAUGCGAUAAGUAAUGUGAAUUGCAGAAUUCAGUGAAUCAUCGAAUUUUUGAACGCACCUUGCGCUCCCUGGUAUUCCGGGGAGCACGCCUGUUCGAGUGUCGCGAAAUUUCUCAAGCUUUUGGAUGGUUUUCUAACUGUCCUUAGCCUUGGUUGUUGGGCUCUGCCGUGUCGUUCAUUGUGGUACGGCUGGCCUUAAAAGCAUUAGCUGAUCCUUGUGACACUGGUUCUACUCAGCGUGAUAAUGAUCUGAUCGCCGAGGACAUCUUUUGGGAUGGCCAGUUUUCAUUUUGGGUUGCUUCUAACCUUAAUGGGAUUCUUAACAGAUUCUCCAAUCUGUGUUCCAUUUUUCAGCUUUGGCCUCGAAUCAGGUGGGACUACCCGCUGAACUUAAGCAUAUCAAUAA
rnacentral:rRNA from 1 species